AAUCGCAUAUUGCCCUGGAGCCUGGGAGAGCCCUCACUUUAUAGAGCUCCAAGGAUAUGCUUUCCCUAAGGAGCGCCUGUCAGUACAAUCUGGUUUCCCUGAUUCUAAAGUAAGGGGGGCUGGGCAAAGAAUCUCAAAUGUUGUCAUUGCCCUGCAUUCUGGUGUAGGUGGUCAGAUCCACAGACACUUCAAAGUGUGGCCCACAACCAAGGGUUGGGGUCUGCUGCAACUCAUUCUGCAUGCAAGUGUAAGACUGAAGGACAGAGGCUCUUUGGGCCUCAUAUAUGCAUUUUCAACACUGGUAAGCAAUGCACCGAGCAACAGUGCAGAGUUAUGCUGGAACUGUGCAAGGCACAGUCAAUAAUUCACAGAACCCUUUGCUGUUGGAAGCACUUCAUCAUUAUUGGCAUGUCAAGCCUGACUGCAUGGAAACAAGCCAAACGCAGCAGAAGGGUCUUAAAGUAGGUCAGACAUUUAUCACUGACAAGGAAUGAAAAACUCACUUUUCUAUUUUGUCAUUCUACCUUCCCAUCCCAAGAGAGUAAGUUCCACUGAAGUCUUAAUUAUCUCUAGUACCUCAUGGAGAACCAGGAAGGCAAAUGGGUCACAACAACGGUGUUGUCUCCUAUCAACGCUGUCAUGAGGAAGGGUUGAAUCACACCACUGGGAAGAUACUAUCAAAAGUUGCAGGAGAAUGUUCACAUGACAGAAUAGCUUACCAAUUCUGCGAUUCCUUGUUCACACAAACAUGGAGUCCCUUCCCUUUUUAAGUUUCUCAAUGAACGUUAAAGACAUGCUUUACUUAGCAUUAACUAUUUUUUUAAAGAAACUAUCCAACACUGGGGCCUAAAGACUGGUACAGGGAGAUCUUUAAUCCGUGUGGCCUGGCCAGCUCCUAGCAUGCCAUACCCAGCCUUCAUAAAUGAGCCUCAAAUGAACAAGUCAGGUUCAUCAAGCAGACUAUGAAAGGCCUGACGAUUUUCUACUAACUUGUUUUGCAAUUCUUUAUAAAUUUUAUGAUUCAUAUAAUAAUUUGGAUCAUAUCCUCAUCUCUUUCAUUUCCUCAAAUGCACGUAUGCUCAUGUCACCGAUGGUGUAAAAUAUUUCUCUAUUACGCUGCAGUCUUCCAUGAGUGGACGCUGUUCAUUCAAGUAAAUGAAAAAAGUUGAAAUAGUCUCACUUAACAACAGACGUUCAGAAACUCCUCUCGUGAGGGACACAGCUGUGUCUGGUGUCCUCACCUCAGUCUAUGUUCCUGCGGCCGUGGUGUUUCUCUGUGCGUUGGUGUUUAUUUAGGCUCCCUGCUGCUUCAUGGUGGUUAUUUUGCAGUUCUUCUGUCCUGGGACGACGAAAUGACAACUAGCCUGGAGUUACAAGAACCUUACUUUCAGGAAGGCAAGUAGAAGCUUGCUCAAAAACAGAGGUCCUUCAAACUGCCCUGGUAUUUCCUUGUUUUCAUUCUCAGAGUCUCCAGCCCUUAGGCUUUGAAGACCCCGAGCCCUUGACUCGGGCUCUGAGGACUCCGAGGCUCCGCCCACCAAGUACUCUGAAGCUUCGAUUCACGGCCUCGUUCACAAUUUUAAUCUAAGACGUUUGGUUUAAUUCAGAUCAUUUAACCUCAGAGUAUCCAAUCUAUCUCCACUGAUCUCUCAAUUCAGUCGGUCCUAGUCAACACUGUGAGGAUCGCAGUGAGGACCAUGCAGGCCAGUUCUCCCAAAUCAUUUGCAAGUAACUCCUUCACCAUAGCGUCCCAAUUCAACAGACUUCUACCUCUGAAUCAGCUCUCUUUCCCAUGGGCAAUGAAAAACGUUGACUUGGUAGAAAUGUGAAUUGGAAUGUAUGUGAUGAAAAAAAUAUCUUCAUAAUCACACACGUUGAUGAGACUCGAUGGAAGUAUAAUGGACAAUUUGGUCCCGCAAAGCAGGCUCCACACAGAUGGAACCACAGAGAUGCAGUUUCUCUGCUACCUACCUCAUCAACAGCUGUAUCUCACAAACGAGAGGUUGUAACCCUGGCUCUUCCACUAAAUCCUUCCAUCGGAUCCACAACGAGGUCUCCAGAAAGCCGCUUAAGUAGAACGCCGUGUGUCGGCAGAGCAGGAAUGAUAAUCCGCAGAAUCUGGUGAUGUUUCAAGCACUCCAUCAUUAUUGGCAUGCCAGGCCUGGCUGCAUGGAAAUGAGCCGAACCCAAGAAAAGGGUCCUGAAGUAGGUCAGGCAUUUAUCAUUGGCAGUAGAUGGAAAAGUCACUUUUUUAUUUGUCCAUUUAUUUCCCAGAGAGUAAGUUCCAUUGAACAUGAAGCGGGCCGUGAUUAUAAUAGCCAUUUUAUCUUCCAGCUGAGGAGGAGGAGGACGUGGAGGCAGCACGUUUACAGCCUCUCUAAAGGCUCCGAGGGAGCUUUUACAGACCUUAUCCUCCAAAACGUGUCCCCGGUUGAGUUUAGUAUUGCUUGGUGUCACCCCGUGGAACCCAAAUGUGAUGCGGUAACUAUUUAUGACAUUUAACAGACUAUGAUCUUUGGGGGUGGGUAUAUUUACAGUAAAGAAACUACAGAAUUAAUUCCAAGUAUUUUUUGAAGCACAUCAAAGCUUAAGUUCUUACAGUUUAGCAACAAAUUCUAUGUGUAUUUGUGAUCCUCUCCUUCUAAGGCAUAGCUCAGGGCUGUGUCCUGUAUGGAUUGAACUCCUAGGUGCUUACUGCAUGUCCAGUGGCUAGAGGUCUAUGACAGAAGUAAAUUCGAAUCCCAUCUCCUACUGGCUCUGCAGCCUCGUGCAACUAAUAGCUGCCUGUGCCUUGGAUUUGCCAUCUCUAAAACAAUGAGGACAAUAUAGCAACUGUGACUGUCUUACUUGGUCUUUAAGAGGGUAAAAUAACAUACCCUUGGCCUCGAGGGCGUGGUUAACAAAUAUUGGAUGGCAUUACGGCUCUGUUAAAUUCUCUGAAGUUUAAAAGGAAUGAGUCUGAAGCUACCUGUCCCUCCAUGAGAAAUGCUUGCUGUAACUGAGGCAUGGCAUAGUAAGGCUUGCAUAGAAAUGGAGCGGGGAGAAGUAUAGAAGGGUCAGUGCUCUGCUGGGUGGAAGCCAAGUUUAAUCAUGUGCCCACUACAUAGAGGCAGCGUGAAGGGCAGGACUGAUUGUACAGAGCAGUCCAUGAGUGCUGCGGUAGGCAAUGCAGCUCUGACUUCAUUUGAGAGUUCUGACUUCAUAUAUAUAUAUAUAUGUGGAACUAUUUGCUCAUAAGUUUACAGUUCACAAUAUCAGCCACAAGAUAUCAAAGGCAUGAUGGAAAGAUAUUUUAGAAUCAGGACUUUUCCCCACUAAUCCUGAUUAGUCUUUUAUUUCUCUAGUGCAGGAAUUAUUUUCUGAAAUAUUUCUAAUGAUUACAAGAGACUGCUUCUUAAUCCAGGGCACUCUAAAAACCUAAGAAUGUUAGUGGCAGACUGGAUAUGCCUGUUCAUAGACAAUGCUCUUACACUGAAUACUCAUGAGUACAAACAGCAGGAACGGCACUCUUUACACAAAGGCAAGCUUCCACAGUGAGUAUUAUGACAUCAAGAAGAUGGAAGUGACAUUUAUAGCUCUGCAGUGAUGGGCACCUCUGUACCCAGAACCCACAAGUUCAGAUCACUGGGAACCUUGCCCAUCUGGUUUCUUGCUGGCAUUAAAAUACAGUGUGAAAAGGAUGUACUUAGAGAAUAUUAAAAUUCUGGAAGAAACUACAAAGCUUUGGGCUUAUUGUGGUACAAGAUAGAUUCCUGUAGAUUAAUAAAUGGCAAACAG
rnacentral:lncRNA from 1 species